GAUGAAGAACGUAGCGAAAUGCGAUACUUGGUGUGAAUUGCAGAAUCCCGUGAACCAUCGAGUCUUUGAACGCAAGUUGCGCCCGAAGCCAUUAGGCCGAGGGCACGCCUGCUUGGGGGUCACACGUCGUUGCCCCCCCAUCUACUCCUUCGGGAUUGCGGGGGGCGGAUGAUGGCUUCCCGUGCGCCUCGUCGCGCGGUUGGCAUAAAUGCCAAGUCCUCGGCGACGCACGCCACGACAAUCGGUGGUUGCGAAACCUCGGUUGCCCGUCGUGUGCGGUCGUCGCGCAUCGAGGGCUCGAAAAAAUUGCCGGGCUCCGGCUCGGCUUUCAACGCGACCCCAGGUCAGGCGGGGUUACCCGCUGAAUUUAAGCAUAUCAAUAAGCGGAGGA
rnacentral:misc_RNA from 1 species